rnacentral:rRNA from 1 species
AUGUCGUCGCGUAUGCAGGCAAGCCUAUGGGCUCUUAUGCUAAAUAGCAGAUUAUCCCAGUCAAUGUUGGUUCCUGUCACGCCUUCGAUUGAUCACAAGACGGCGGCUGCUAUCAUGCUCAAGGGGAGGAAUGUCCAUAUGCUGGUUCGUCGCAUAUUUAAGGUUACGCUCUUACUCGAAAGGUACCCGAGGUUUUAUGGGCAAGGGCCACCAUUGAUUCAUUGUUUCUUAGGACAGUGUCAACCAUGGAUGCAAGAAUCUCAUGAACUACCCUGCUUUGCUCCAAGAAUCAAGAGUACUGUUGCUUAA